GGGCCUCAAGGCUAGGCCCAGGUGUGAGCCUGGGGCGUCCCUCCCGGCCCUCAGGUGGCAAGAGGAGGCGCAGAUGGCUGCAGGUGUCCAGCAGGUGGCGCUGCUGCCCGACUCAGAGAGGCCAGCCCGCAGCGCCAGCCGGCAACGGGAGCCUGCCGGCGGCCCCUGGAAGGUGGGGGGACCCAGGGCAGAGGAUCCGCCUGAAGUGAGACUAGCCGGGGCGCUUCAGACGCAGAUGAAAGGCCUCCUGCAGUGUUGCCCGUGUGCCAGAGCCCAUGAAGAGCUGUGAAGGAGAAGGCCUGCCUCUGCCCACCCUGGAGAGUUCACCUUCCGAUCACCGUACAGCAGGCCCUUAUUGAUCUUCAACAACAACAGGAGAAGAUGCCACUCACUCCUCGCAGGCAGGGUGGCUCAGUAGCCCUUCCAGGUCAUUGGAUCCUCCUGUCCGUCCCAAUGGAAUGGCUCCCCUACCUCACAGAUGAAGAAACUGAGGCCCACGAAGGGGAAAAUGACUCACCCAGAGCCACGCGGCUUACGGAGCCGGGAUCCCAACACAGGAUUGUCCAGCAAGCCGGGCUCCCUCGUCUGCUCCAGAUACUCCAACUCUUGAGGCUAGCCCUGUUCAUGGGGGUCUCCCAAGGCCCUGAAGAGUUGAAAAAAAGAAAAUCAGAGAUGCCUACUUGGGGCCCUUCUCUUCUUCUUGUCUUGCUGCUCAACCUUCCCCAGGCUCAGUGCCAGGCUGGAGCUUCACACCAAGGCUGUCUUUGCCCAGCCCUGUGCCCUCCAGAUUACACAAGCCCUUGCCCUUUUCCCGGCCUCCCUUUCUAAGAUGCAACCCUGGAGAGAGCAAAGCAGAUAGACAAGGUUAGGUGCCAGAGGACUGAAAAUAUUUCAGCUCUUGCCAAGGAAAACGUCAAACUUUAUAAGGAGAAAAUGGUCUCUCACACACUCCAGACCAAAUCCCCGCUUCCCUGCCACUGACAUGCCUAAAAGAAUGUGUCCUUUUAGGAAGGAAAGAAUUAAUUUUUCCACAUUUUUAAAAAAUGUAUGGUCAGAUAGGAGAGGAAUAAAGAGCCUUGACUGGCCA
rnacentral:lncRNA from 1 species